rnacentral:misc_RNA from 1 species
AGUCCACUUAAGCCUGGCUAGGUGUUGGGCUUCGCCAUCUGGCGGGCCUUAAAACCAGUGGCGGUGCUCUUAGGCUCUACGCGUAGUAACUUUCUCGCUACAGGGUCCUGGGAGAUGCUGGCCAGCAACCCCAAAUUUUUCUA